UAUCCUUGUCCUGGUCGAACGCUGAAGUCGAGCGCCUAUUCAGCCUAGUCAAUUUAAUCAAAAAUAGGCUAAGAAACAGAAUGAGUUGCACUGUGCUGAGCUCAAUGUUAGCAAUAAGAUAUGGAUUACGCCGACAUGGCAAAUGUUGCUAUGAAUAUAGCCUUCCAAUCAACUACCUUAAAAAGGCGAAUUAUAAAGGCGACAAUGGUGAAAAUGACGAGUUGGUGGUCAUAGAUGAUAUAUUAACAGAAUUAAAUUAAUAACGUUGACUUUUUAUGAAAAA